UGAUGGAAACAUAUUUCAGAUGGGUAAACUAUAAGAAUCUUAAUGGGAGGCAGGAGAGUAGUAGUAGAAAAGGAAAUCUUCUUGAUUCUUUCUGUUGGGGGAGAAAAGCAUUUGAUAUCUGUGAACAGCAAAUAGGCUUUCACUCUAGUGUAAACUAUCAUUGAUAAAUAAUGAUCCCGUGCUGAGCACCAGGGACCUUGUUACUGCCAAACAGGAAGAAUACCCUGAUAGUCCUUUUGAACACAUCGCCUGAAACAUAUUAAUGCUUAAACCUUCAAAAUGUUUUAAAAGAUGUACUUUCUAAGUCCCUAUCAGUAGCCAGUCCUGUCAAUCAAGCCUUGUCUUUUCAAGUAAAUUCAUGGAAACUGUUUAGGUUUUAGGUACUUUAUUUGAGGUGGGGAUUGUAAUUUUAGUAGUUUUAGUGCUGGGUGUAAACAGAGACCCCUGACCUUUGCACUGCAUAUCACAUUCUGAGUUGGGUCAACUCAGUAGUUAGUACCAUCUUCUACCUGCAGGUGGUAGAGUUUCUUUAUAGUUCCAUAAAGUGGUGCCCCAUUUCAGCCCCUGGACCUUAACUGGAUCCUGCCCUAUAAGGUGCUAUAAAACCGGAACAAUGUGUGAAACUAUACGGGUCAAACAGCAUCCCCUAAAUAUAAGUAUUUCUGAGGUAAAAGUGCCACAUGGCUUUCUUAUCUUAGAACAGAGUUAACUUUGUUCUAUCCACAGUGUCACAAACAACUCAGGGUAUGUUUGUAUUUCCUUUUCUACAUGUGGAAAGGAGGGGAAGUAGAGGUUUUUAAUGGGUCUGCCUCUAAAUGUAUUUAUAUAAAUACUCUGAUUUCUGUA